UGUCGUGAGAUAGUUGGGUUUAAGUCCCGUAACCGAGCGCAAACCCCUUGUCCUUAGUUACCAGCACGUUAUGUGGGCACUCUAAGGAGACUGCCGGUGACAAACCGGAGGAAGGUGGGGAUGACGUCAAGUCAUCAUGGCCCUUACGGCCUGGGCUACACACGUGCUACAAUGGUCGGUACAAAGGGUUGCCAAGCCGCGAGGUGGAGCUAAUCCCAUAAAACCGAUCGUAGUCCGGAUCGCAGUCUGCAACUCGACUGCGUGAAGUCGGAAUCGCUAGUAAUCGUGAAUCAGAAUGUCACGGUGAAUACGUUCCCGGGCCUC
rnacentral:rRNA from 1 species